AUGAAUAUCCCCCAGGACAAGCCUUUGUGGUUCAGCAUCUUAAAGGCGAAAUACUUCCCUUCCUGUAGCCCUAUGUUUGCUCGGGCUUCUCGGGCAUCUCAAUUUUGGCGUGAUCUUGUUAAACUCCGGCCUACCUUUCAAGGCCUUGUCAAGUUUGACGUUGGCAAUGGUAAGUCUACUAGGUUCUGGCUCGACUGGGGGUGCGGGGCCUCCCCGCUGGCCUCUACUUUCCCUGUUUUAUUCUCCUACUGUCCGAACCCUCAGAUAUCUAUCUCUGAGCUUGCGUCGAGUAAUUGGGACCUUCAGCUGCGCCGUUCUCUCUCUCCUAUAGAGUUGGAAGACUGGCAGCGUCUUGCUGCCCUCUUCCCUUCGCUCUCGGAGGAGGAAGACACAGCUGUGUGGCCCCAUUCUCCCUCUGGCCGCUUCUCGGUUAAAUCUCUUUAUAGCAGACUCAUUGAGGGAUCCACCACCUCCAAAUUUAAGUGGAUUCGGAGAGCUCACAUCCCCCCUAAGAUUAAAGUGUUUCUCUGGCAAGCCUCUCGUGGGCGUCUACCUACGGGUGACCAGAUUCGUAAACGUAAUGGUCCGGGUUCUGACUGUUGUGUUCUAUGUGGGACGAGAGAAGAUACACCUCAUAUUUUCUUUAACUGUGUCCUGGCUAAAUUGUUUUGGUGUUGCAUCAGAUCCUGGUUGCAUGUCUCCUGGGCUCCGACCUCCUUCGCGGACUUGCGUGCCUUGGCUAACUCUUUGGUUGGGGCCCAGAGGAGAUUGUUUUGGGUCGGCUUUGCUGCCAUGUGCUGGUCCUUGUGGACGACAAGGAAUAAAUUCACUAUCGAACAUGUUUUUCCUGCUAAGCCUGCUGAUUGCUUAUUUAAGACUUGUAUAUUUCUGCAGCAGUGA
rnacentral:rRNA from 1 species